GAACGCGGCAUUGGGCAACCAGUGCCGAGUGGCGGACGGGUGAGGAACACGUGGGUUAUCUACCAAGAGGUGAGGAAUACCGGCGAGAAAUCGCCGACAAUACCGCAUAGGUUUGGAAACAAACAAAGUUGAGCAAUCAACGCCUUUUGAUGAGCCUGCGUCCGAUUAGCUAGUUGGUGGGGUAAUGGCCCACCAAGGCGACGAUCGGUAGCUGGUCUGAGAGGAUGAUCAGCCUCACUGGGACUGAGACACGGCCCAGACUCCUACGGGAGGCAGCAGUGGGGAAUAUUGGACAAUGGGCGAAAGCCUGACGCAGCCAUGCCGCGUGAAUGAUGAAGGUCUUAGGAUUGUAAAAUUCUUUCAGCGGGGAAGAUAAUGACGGUACCCGCAGAAGAAGCUCCGGCUAACUUCGUG
rnacentral:rRNA from 1 species